ensembl:snoRNA
UAGACCAGUGAUGACGACUGGUGGCCUAUGAGUCACAUACAAUGAAUAUCAUAUUUCUGGAACUCUGAGGUGUGA